rnacentral:rRNA from 1 species
UACGUAGGGGGCAAGCGUUGUCCGGAAUCAUUGGGCGUAAAGCGCGCGUAGGCGGCCAGACAAGUCCGGUGUGAAAGUCACAGGCUCAACCUGUGAAUGCCGCUGGAAACUGUCUGGCUAGAGUCCGGAAGGGGCGAGUGGAAUUCCUGGUGUAGCGGUGAAAUGCGCAGAUAUCAGGAGGAACACCUAUGGCGAAGGCAGCUCGCUGGGACGGUACUGACGCUGAGGCGCGAAGGCGUGGGGAGCGAACAGG